CCUACGGGAGGCAGCAGUGGGGAAUAUUGCACAAUGGGGGAAACCCUGAUGCAGCGACGCCGCGUGAGUGAAGAAGUAAUUCGUUAUGUAAAGCUCUAUCAGCAGGGAAGAAAAUGACGGUAUCUGUGUAAGAAGCCCCGGCUAACUACGUGCCAGCAGCCGCGGUAAUACGUAGGGGGCAAGCGUUAUCCGGAUUUACUGGGUGUAAAGGGAGCGUAGACGGCAGUGCAAGUCUGGAGUGAAAGGCGGGGGCUCAACCCCCGGACUGCUCUGGAAACUGUACGGCUGGAGUGCAGGAGAGGUAAGUAGAAUUCCUGGUGUAGCGGUGAAAUGCGUAGAUAUUAGGAGGAACACCAGUGGCGAAGGCGGCUUACUGGACUGUAACUGACGUUGAGGCUCGAAAGCGUGGGGAGCAAACAGGAUUAGAUACCCCUGUAGUC
rnacentral:rRNA from 1 species